rnacentral:rRNA from 1 species
GUCAAAUAAACGAAGGCUCACGGUGGAGACCUAGGCAUCCAGAAGCGAAGAAGGGCGCAGAUACCGGCGAAACGCUUCGGGGAGCUGGCAACAAGCAUUGAUCCGAAGAUCCCCGAAUAGGGCAACCUCAAGAACUGCUUAACGAAUUCAUAGUUAAGAAAGAGCGAACCCGGUGAAUUGAAACAUCUUAGUAACCGGAGGAAAAGAAAGCAAACGCGAUUCUCGUAGUAGCGGCGAGCGAAACGGGAACAGCCUAAACCAACUAUUGAUGUUGGGGUAGUGGGAAGACAAAAUCAAAAAAUGAAUUUUUUGUUUUUUUUUAAAAAAUAAAGAGUGAAGAAAAAAGUGUAGACGAAGCAGCUGAAUCCUGCACCAUAGAUGGUGAAAGUCCAGUAGUCAAAAACUAAAAAACUGUCUAAUCCCGAGUAGCAUGGGGCACGUGGAAUCCCGUGUGAAUCAGCGAGGACCACCUCGUAAGGCUAAAUAUUCCUGGGUGACCGAUAGAGAAAUAGUACCAUGAGGGAAAGGUGAAAAGAACCCCCGUUGGGGAGUGAAAUAGAACAUGAAACCGUCAGCUGACAAGCAGUGGGAGGGUGUUAGAACCUGACCGCGUGCCUGUUGAAGAAUGAGCCGGCGACUUAUAGGGAGUGGCAGGGUUAAGGAGUUUGAUCUGGAGCCCAAGCGAAAGCGAGUCUGAAUAGGGCGUUGAGUCACUUCUUAUGGACCCGAACCCGGGUGAUCUAACCAUGGCCAGGAUGAAGCUUGGGUAACACCAAGUGGAGGUCCGAACCGACCGAUGUUGAAAAAUCGGCGGAUGAGCUGUGGUUAGGGAUGAAAUUUCAAUCGAACUCGGAGCUAGCUGGUUCUCCCUGAAAUGCGUUGAGGCGCAGCGGUCACGAAGAGCUGUCUAGGGGUAAAGCAACUGUUUCGAUACGGGCUGCGAAAGCGGUACCAAGUCGUGGCAAACUCAGAAUACUAGGCAUUAUAAUAUUUAAGCUUUCCGUAAACCAGUGAGACGGUGGGGGAUAAGCUUCAUCGUCAAGAGGGAAACAGCCCAGAUCACCAGCUAAGGCCCCAAAAUGGCCGCUAAGUGGAAAAGGAUGUGAGAAUGCUGAAACAACCAGGAGGUUUGCUUAGAAGCAGCCACCCUUUAAAGAGUGCGUAAUAGCUCACUGGUAAAGCGUUCUUGCGCCGACAAUGGCCGGGACUAAGCGGCCUGCCGAAGCUGUGGGAUUUUUACUUGCUCUCAAAAGUUUCUAAAAUUUUCGAGAAAGCUUGUUAAAAUCGGUAAGGGAGCGUUCUGCCACGGGAGAAGCUUUCACGUAAGUGAUGGUGGACGAGGCGGAAGUGAGAAUGUCGGCUUGAGUAACGAAAACAUUGGUGAGAAUCCAAUGCCCCGAAAACCUAAGGGUUCCUCUACAAGGUUCGUCCGUGGGGGGUGAGUCAGGACCUAAGGCGAGGCCGAACGGCGUAGUCGAUGGCAAACAGGUUAAUAUUCCUGUACUUAUUUUUGUGGGUCCCGAGGGACGAAGAAGGCUAAGCUAGGUCUGUGAAUGGAAUGCAGUGGAAGCGUUCGAGGUGUUGACAGGUAGAACAAAAACUAUCCUGGAGCUGAGACGUGAUCCCGUUCUCUGGAAUUUUUCCGGUUGGACGCUAGUGAUGUCAAACUUCCAAGAAAAUCUCGUAAACCUCUUUAUAGAAAAACACAAAAAUAACCUGUACCUGAAACCGACACAGGUAGGUAGGUAGAGAAUACCAAGGGGCGCGAGAGAACUCUCUCUAAGGAACUCGGCAAACUGGCCCCGUAACUUCGGAAGAAGGGGCGCCCUCUUAUAGAGGGUCGCAGUGACCAGGCCCAGGCGACUGUUUACCAAAAACACAGGUCUCCGCAAAGUCGUAAGACAAUAUAUGGGGGCUGACGCCUGCCCAGUGCCGGAAGGUGAAGGAAGUUGGUUAUUUCCUUUGGAGAGAAGCUGACAACCGAAGCCCCGGUGAACGGCGGCUGUAACUAUGACAGUCCUAAGGUAGCGAAAUUCAUUGUCGAGUAAGUUUCGACCUGCACGAAAGGCGUAACGAUCUGGGCGCUGUCUCAGAGAGAGGCUCGGUGAAAUAGACUUGUCCGUGAAGAUGCGGACUACUUGCACUUGGACAGAAAGACCCUAUGAAGCUUGACUGUAUCCUGGAAUGGGGUUCGGGCUUUUCUUGCGCAGUCUAGGUGGGAGGCUUUGAAGGUUUCCUUCCGGGGAAAUUGGAGCCAUCAGUGAGAGACCACUCUGGAAAGGCUAGAAUCCUAAUGGUGAUCCUUGAAUCAGGACACUUGACAGUUUCAGGUGGGCAGUUUGUUUGGGGCGAACGCCUUAUAAAGUGUAACUAAGGCGUGCAAAGGUUCCCUCAAUCUGGACGGAAAUCAGAUGUUGAGUGUAAAGGCAAAAGGGAGCUUGACUGCAAGACCUACAAGUCGAGCAGGGGCGAAAGCCGGCCUUAGUGAUCCGACGGUGCCGUGUGGAAGGGCCGUCGCUCAACGGAUAAAAGUUACUCUAGGGAUAACAGGCUAAUCUUCUCCAAGAGUUCAUAUCGACGAGAAGGUUUGGCACCUCGAUGUCGGCUCAUCACAACCUGGAGCGGCAGUACGUUCCAAGGGUUGGGCUGUUCGCCCAUUAAAGUGGUACGUGAGCUGGGUUCAGAACGUCGUGAGACAGUUUGGUCCAUAUCCGGUGUAAGCGCUAGAGCAUUGAGAGGAGUCUUCCAUAGUACGAGAGGACCUGUGAAGAACGUGCCUAUGGUGUACCAGUUAUCUUUCCAAAGGUAAACGCUGGGUAGCUACGCACUGAGUGGAUAACCGCUGAAAGCAUCUAAGUGGGAAGCCCACCUCAAGAUGAGUGCUCUCUAUUAGGUCGCGGCAAGACCAGCCGUUAAUAGGUAUCAGGUGUAAGGCUAGCAAUAGUUUUAGCCGAGAUAUACUAAAGGCCAAUUGAUUUUGAC